GUGUCAGCCGCCGCGGUAAUACGGAGGAGGCAAGCGUUAUCCGGAAUUAUUGGGCGUAAAGCGUCCGCAGGUGGCUCGCUCAAGUCUGCUGUCAAAGACCGGGGCUUAACUCCGGAAAGGCAGUGGAAACUGACAAGCUAGAGGGCUCUAGGGGUAGAGGGAAUUCCCGGUGUAGCGGUGAAAUGCGUAGAGAUUGGGAAGAACACCGGUGGCGAAAGCGCUCUGCUAGGCCGAAACUGACACUGAGGGACGAAAGCUAGGGGAGCGAAUGGGAUUAGAUACCCCAGUAGUCCUAGCUGUAAACGAUGGAUACUAGGCGUUGCUUGUAUCGACCCAAGCAGUGCCGUAGCUAACGCGUUAAGUAUCCCGCCUGGGGAGUACGCACGCAAGUGUGAAACUUAAAGGAAUUGACGGGG
rnacentral:rRNA from 1 species